rnacentral:rRNA from 1 species
CCGUACCCGAGCUCUGAUAGAGUUUGAUCCUGGCUCAGGAUGAACGCUGGCGGCGUGCUUAACACAUGCAAGUCGAACGAUGAAGCCCAGCUUGCUGGGUGGAUUAGUGGCGAACGGGUGAGUAACACGUGAGUAACCUGCCCUUAACUCUGGGAUAAGCCUGGGAAACUGGGUCUAAUACCGGAUAGGAGCGUCCACCGCAUGGUGGGUGUUGGAAAGAUUUAUCGGUUUUGGAUGGACUCGCGGCCUAUCAGCUUGUUGGUGAGGUAAUGGCUCACCAAGGCGACGACGGGUAGCCGGCCUGAGAGGGUGACCGGCCACACUGGGACUGAGACACGGCCCAGACUCCUACGGGAGGCAGCAGUGGGGAAUAUUGCACAAUGGGCGCAAGCCUGAUGCAGCGACGCCGCGUGAGGGAUGACGGCCUUCGGGUUGUAAACCUCUUUCAGUAGGGAAGAAGCGAAAGUGACGGUACCUGCAGAAGAAGCACCGGCUAACUACGUGCCAGCAGCCGCGGUAAUACGUAGGGUGCGAGCGUUAUCCGGAAUUAUUGGGCGUAAAGAGCUCGUAGGCGGUUUGUCGCGUCUGUCGUGAAAGUCCGGGGCUUAACCCCGGAUCUGCGGUGGGUACGGGCAGACUAGAGUGCAGUAGGGGAGACUGGAAUUCCUGGUGUAGCGGUGGAAUGCGCAGAUAUCAGGAGGAACACCGAUGGCGAAGGCAGGUCUCUGGGCUGUAACUGACGCUGAGGAGCGAAAGCAUGGGGAGCGAACAGGAUUAGAUACCCUGGUAGUCCAUGCCGUANACGUUGGGCACUAGGUGUGGGGACCAUUCCACGGUUUCCGCGCC